UACGGGGGGGGCAAGCGUUGUUCGGAAUCACUGGGCUUAAAGGGCGCGUAGGCGGCGAUACAAGUCAGGGGUGAAAUCCGGCAGCUCAACUGUCGAAGUGCCUUUGAUACUGUAUCGCUCGAGGGAGGUAGGGGUCUGUGGAACUUCUGGUGGAGCGGUGAAAUGCGUUGAUAUCAGAAGGAACGCCGGUGGCGAAAGCGACGGACUGGACCUUUUCUGACGCUGAGGCGCGAAAGCUAGGGGAGCAAACGGG
rnacentral:rRNA from 1 species